rnacentral:rRNA from 1 species
UGGGGAAUUUUGGACAAUGGGCGAAAGCCUGAUCCAGCAAUGCCGCGUGUGUGAAGAAGGCCUUCGGGUUGUAAAGCACUUUUGUCCGGAAAGAAAUCCUUGGCUCUAAUACAGUCGGGGGAUGACGGUACCGGAAGAAUAAGCACCGGCUAACUACGUGCCAGCAGCCGCGGUAAUACGUAGGGUGCAAGCGUUAAUCGGAAUUACUGGGCGUAAAGCGUGCGCAGGCGGUUUGCUAAGACCGAUGUGAAAUCCCCGGGCUCAACCUGGAAACUGCAUUGGUGACUGGCAGGCUAGAGUAUGGCAGAGGGGGGUAGAAUUCCACGUGUAGCAGUGAAAUGCGUAGAGAUGUGGAGGAAUACCGAUGGCGAAGGCAGCCCCCUGGGCCAAAUACUGACGCUCAUGCACGAAAGCGUGGGGAGCAAACAGGAUUAGAUACCCUGGUAGUCCACGCCCUAAACGAUGUCAACUAGUUGUUGGGGAUUCAUUUCCUUAGUAACGUAGCUAACGCGUGAAGUUGACCGCCUGGGGAGUACGGUCGCAAGAUUAAAACUCAAAGGAAUUGACGGGGUCAUAGCUGUUUCCU